GUACACACCGCCCGUCACACCAUGGGAGUUGGCUUUACCCGAAGACGGUGCGCUAACCUGAGCAAUCAGGGGGCAGCCGGCCACGGUAAGGUCAGCGACUGGGGUGAAGUCGUAACAAGGUUUCCGUAGGUGAACCUGCAGAAGGAUCA
rnacentral:rRNA from 1 species